AAUCAAAUCAGCCGAUUACCAAACCCUAGCAAGAUAAAACACAAUCCAAACGCAAAAACCACUUGUUGAUGAAUAACCGAACAUCAUACCUAAUACCACGCCGGAUCAAAAUCACCAAAAGAAAACCAAUUCAGAAUCACAAUCAAACGACCGGCGAAGAAUCCACGACGCUCCGAUUGUCAGACCGGCAAAAUAACCCAGAUAAAUCAAAUCAGGACCCUACAAUCAGACGGUAUCGCGAAAGAGAAAAAAAAAACAUGGGACGGAUAAUCGCCGCUGAUUGAAUUGAAUUGCGCAGGUUUCAUAGCGACGAAAAUACAUAUACAAUCUGAAAAACGGAAACGACAAAUAAACAUCCGCAGAGAACCAAAGGCAAUCAAAC
rnacentral:lncRNA from 1 species